UUCAAAAACAUCUUUUCUUGUUAGUUUCUGAAGUACGGCCUGCCCGCUGACGUAUUUGAGUUGAAGGGCCGCGGUAUUUUGACCGUGCAAAGGUAGCAUAGUCAUUAGUUCUUUAAUUGUGAUCUGGUAUGAAUGGCUUGACGAGACAUGGGCUGUCUUGGUAUGGAUUUAUUGUUGAAUUUGGAGUUUAAGUUAGAAUUCUUAGAUGUUUUUAUGGGACGAGAAGACCCUAUAGAGUUUGACAAUUGAUUGUGCAUUCCUUACUGUUUGUUUUGAAUUUUUGUGUGUCUUUUGUUUUGUUGGGGUGAUGGGAGGAAUUUAUUUAACUCCUCUUUUUAUGUGAUAUAUUGAUUUAUGUUUGGUUUGAUCCAUUUAUUUUGAUUAUAAGAUUAAAUUACCUUAGGGAUAACAGCGUUAUCUUCCCUGAGAGUUCUUAUUGGCGGGGGGGUUUGCGACCUCGAUGUUGGAUUAAGGUUAAUUUUUGGUGUAGGAGCUGAAUUGAUUGGGUCUGUUCGACCUUUAAAUCUUACGUGAUC
rnacentral:rRNA from 1 species